rnacentral:rRNA from 1 species
GUAGGUGGCAAGCGUUGUCCGGGAAUUAUGGGCGUAAAGCGCGCGCAGGCGGGUCCUUUAAGUCUGAUGUGAAAGCCCACGGGCUCAACCGUGGAGGGGUCAUUGGAAACUGGGGGACUUGAGUACAGAAGAGGAAAGCGGAAUUCCAAGUGUAGCGGUGAAAUGCGUAGAGAUUUGGAGGAACACCAGUGGCGUAAGGCGGCUUUCUGGUCUGUAACUGACGCUGAGGCGCGAAAGCGUGGGGAGCAAACAGGAUUAGAUACCCCUGGUAGUCCACGCCGUAAACGAUGAGUGCUAAGUGUUACGGGGGUUUCCGCCCCUUAGUGCUGCAGCUAACGCAUUAAGCACUCCGCCUAGGGGAGUACGGCCGCAAAGGCUG